CUUGAGCAUCGAAGCACAGUUGAGAGACGAUCGGUCGUUGUCCCUGUGAAAUAAAAUUCGAGUCUUCCUAAAGAAUUUCGUUGAAACUUCGACAACGUGUAACAGCCUCGUAUUGCACCUGCAGCUAAUGCAUAUCAAACGUGACGGAAUUCUACGGAUGGCUAAUUCGCAGGGCUGAAAUACCGGUGCAUUAGGAAGGAAAGCGUUGAAUUUCUUUUCUUCUUCAUCUUCUUGCCCCGGUACAAUAAACAAUUGUAAUAUAAUAAUGUGGUAAAAUAAAUUAUCUUUCUUGCGCACGAGGUAUGAAAGUGAAAAAAAAAAAAAAAAUCGACUCGUAGUUUUAACAAAUUUGUAUUAGAUAGUAUUAACUGUUUGAAAAUUGUGCUAAAGGCGACGGUGAAAGUGAACCAGAUGAUGAUGAAUUUCAUAGAAUAAUAAUUAUUUCAAUUAGUUGUUAGAGAUGUGUCGACUUUGAAGCAACAACAAAAAAAAUAAAAAAUAAUAAUCCAAAAUUGUAUACGUCAAAAAGUAGAUCGUCUAUUUCGGAUUAUAUUGUAAAGUUAAGUACAAAAUGAAUCAGACAUCGUUUAUUUUUAUAUCUCUGAUAAUUGCACCUGUUUCACCUGUCGCCUUAUAAACUGAUCGAUAAUUAUUUGAAAUCAUAUGACUUUCGCUUGUACCCGUAUUUCUUUUGCAAAAACUGAGGUGCUAAAUAUUACUGCGGUUGUUGUAACAAAAA